rfam:Plasmodiophora brassicae isolate e3 genome assembly, contig: scaffold_64
GGUCGAUUGAUGUAGUGGCAGCAUAUCAGACUUUGAAUCUGAAUACGCGAGUUCAAUCCUCGCAUCGACCU